rnacentral:rRNA from 1 species
UAUGGUAAUUGUGUGCCCCGCGGUAAUACGUAGGGAGCCAGCGUUGUCCGGAUUUACUGGGUGUACAGGGUGCGUAGGCGGCUUUGCAAGUCAGAUGUGAAAUCUAUGGGCUCAACCCAUAGCCUGCAUUUGAAACUGCAGAGCUUGAGUGAAGUAGAGGCAGGCGGAAUUCCCCGUGUAGCGGUGAAAUGCGUAGAGAUGGGGAGGAACACCAGUGGCGAAGGCGGCCUGCUGGGCUUUAACUGACGCUGAGGCACGAAAGCGUGGGUAGCAAACAGG